rnacentral:snRNA from 1 species
UUGCUUAGGCAGCACAUAUACUAAAAUUGGAAUGAUACAGAGAAGAUUAGCAUGGUCCCUACACAAGGAUGACACGCAAAUCUGUGAAGCGUUCCAUAUUUUU